UGGGGAAUAUUGGACAAUGGGGGCAACCCUGAUCCAGCAAUGCCGCGUGAGUGAAGAAGGCCUUCGGGUUGUAAAGCUCUUUCGGCGGGGACGAAACGGUCCGUGACAACACCACGGACUAAUGACAGUACUCGCAGAAGAAGCACCGGCUAACUACGUGCCAGCAGCCGCGGUAAUACGUAGGGUGCAGGCGUUAAUCGGAAUUACUGGGCGUAAAGCGUGCGCAGGCGGCUCCUUAAGUCAGAUGUGAAAUCCCCGGGCUUAACCUGGGAACUGCGUUUGAAACUGAGGGGCUAGAGUGUGGAAGAGGGGGGUGGAAUUCCAGGUGUAGCAGUGAAAUGCGUAGAGAUCUGGAGGAACACCGAUGGCGAAGGCAGCCCCCUGGGCUAACACUGACGCUCAUGCACGAAAGCGUGGGGAGCAAACAGGAUUAGAUACCCAGGUAGUCCCUGAGCGGGCUGGCAAGGCGCAU
rnacentral:rRNA from 1 species